rnacentral:rRNA from 1 species
UGCGCAGGCGGUUGUGCAAGACAGGUGUGAAAUCCCCGGGCUUAACCUGGGAACUGCACUUGUGACUGCACGGCUGGAGUGCGGCAGAGGGGGAUGGAAUUCCGCGUGUAGCAGUGAAAUGCGUAGAUAUGCGGAGGAACACCGAUGGCGAAGGCAAUCCCCUGGGCCUGCACUGACGCUCAUGCACGAAAGCGUGGGGAGCAAACAGGAUUAGAUACCCUGGUAGUCCACGCCCUAAACGAUGUCAACUGGUUGUUGGACGGCUUGCUGUUCAGUAACGUAGCUAACGCGUGAAGUUGACCGCCUGGGGAGUACGGCCGCAAGGUUGAA